UCUCCGUAGGUGAACCUGCGGAGGGAUCAUUACAGAGUUCGUGCCCUCACGGGUAGAUCUCCCACCCUGUGUUAUUAUACCUUUGUUGCUUUGGCGGGCCGCCCUCGGCUACCGGCCCCGGCGGGUACGCGCCCGCCAGAGGACCCCAAACUCUGAAUGUUAGUGUCGUCUGAGUACUAUACAAUAGUUAAAACUUUCAACAACGGAUCUCUUGGUUCUG
rnacentral:misc_RNA from 1 species